AAACGAUACUCUGGAAAGCGGCAGCGCGGCGUUCGCUCUGCCCACCGAAGGGGUAAGCCGGCCUGGCAUAAAGCGGGCGGCGAAAGCUCUCAGGUUCCGUGACAGAGGGGGCGAC
rnacentral:ncRNA from 2 species